rnacentral:misc_RNA from 1 species
GCAAACUUGGUCAUUUAGAGGAAGUAAAAGUCGUAACAAGGUUUCCGUAGGUGAACCUGCGGAAGGAUCAUUAAAAAAGAAUGAAUUUGGGAUUUUUUAAAUCUCAAACUUAUCUGAACUUUGUGGUAUUAAUGAAAUUUGAAUUGGGCUUAAAAAUGAUGUUUUCGUAAGAGAAUAUCGGCUCAAACACCUUUAUAUGGAACUCUAUUAUUAUUUGACUGAAUAAUCAAGUAAAAAUAAUUCGAAUUGAAUUAUUAAAAGUUUUAAAUAACUUUCAACAACGGAUCUCUUGGUUCUCGCAUCGAUGAAGAACGCAGC